GGCCGAUGCGGGGCAGCCAGACGGGGACUGGGCAGCCGGAUGGGGACUGAGCCGGCAGUCCAGGGACAGGCACAGGAUGUGGGGAAUGCUCACGGGGCGCUCCACUCCAGCAGCUCCGGUCAGUGCACGUGGUCACGGACCACGGUCCAGUCAAACGCAGAACGGCUCCAACCCAGACCAUGGGAAAGUCCGUGCAGCGGUUUUGGCUCCCACACACGAGAGAAAACCCAGGACCCUCGACCUCCUUUCUGAGCCUGGCUCAGUUCACUUAGCGUACGUUUCUGGUGGGUUUUGGGGUCUUCUAGACACAGGAUCCUGUCGUCAGCCAGCAGGUAGUUUGGCCUCUUCCUUUUGUGUUUGGGUCCCUUUGAGUCCCUCCUUGGGCCCUCGGGCUGGCCUUUCAAGGCCUGGGUUGGGUCGGAGUGGAGGAGUGGGCGCCCCGUGGAUCCCUGAUUCAGGGAGAAGCUUCCGUUUUUCCCUGUUCACAGGUGGGUUUUGCACCAGCCCUGCUAGCUCCAGGGUCCCCUCUCGUGAAGGAAGCCCUUCCCGAGGCGCAGCCUCCCUCCGAGCUUCUCCUCCACAGCAGCGGCUCCUGUUUAAGGUGCUGAAACCACGUCCCCAGGCCCUUAGAGAUGACAGGUGGCCGCCCACUGACAGGCACCUGUGUUAUCAGUUUCAUCAGAAAGGUUUUACGCUCAGCUUUCAGUUCUAGGGUGAUUUUUGUCCCUUGAGAGCAGACAGUUAUUCACUCUAACUCUGCGUCCCAUCCGGGCACGGAGCGUCUGCCCAGGCCAGCGUCACGGUCAGCGAGCUUCAGCCGCUGUGGGCACCUCGUCUCUCAGAGGGCGGAUGGAGAUGCGAGGUCAGCACCCAGGGACGCAGGUUGCCCCUGGCGUCCUCAGGGCAGUGUCCUCUCGGGUUCAUUACUAGGAUACCCUGCCGCCCUGGCCUCCUCGGGUCCUGCCUGGAGGUGUCUAGGAUGGAUCCUGCAGACGUCCUCGGACCCCAAGGUCCUCUGGUUACACAGACCCGUCCUUCCCGACGCCUGACCCUGAUGCGUGAUGGCCCCGGACGCGGUCUUCUCCCCAUCUCCCCGUAGCUCACAGCAAACCCACCCGACGCUCGUCUUCCUGAAGGUCACUCUGAUCUCCUUUCCACCUGAGCUCUGGUGUCACCUUGGGGACAUGGCUCCCCAGGUGGCUGCUGUCCCUCCAUCUCCCUUCCUCCUGACAGCGAUUUGGGGGUGUGGGGGUGGAUUCCCCCAGUUCAGAGCCCCGACCCUCUAUUCUGAUCAAGACCCUGCCCAGGGCAGCUUCAGAGAGCGGCGCAGCCUGCUCCUCCCUGCUUGACACAAACAGACACAGAGCGUUUUACCAGAUACGUUUAUGUUCACUCUUUUCCCUUUUUUUUUAAUGGAGAUGAUACAAAAAGCCUAUUCCGUAGUCGGACGCAGGAGGAGGAAAGAACAACCACUGUUGCAUUCCUCCACGCUCCUCAUCUGGGACCCCUUCCGUCUGGCCAGGGGUGCCCAGGUUUGUCCUCACUGGUCCCCUCCCCUGUGGUCACAGCCGGGAGCCCCCUGUGCACCCAGAGUCCUGCCAGCUCUCGUCAGGCCGACUCUUCCCCCCUCCUCUGGAGCUCCCCAGUGCUGACCUGGUGCUGGAGGACCCUCGUGGUGGGCGGCGGGGGGAGCUGGCUCCAGCACCGGGCAGAGACCUGGGCAGAGCUGCCUCGGGGCGGCUUGUGCUCACCAGACCUGAAAGACGCCUCCUGCCGUCCAGCCCAGCUCUGAGCAGCUUCCAGUGGUGACCUUGAGUCCUCAUGGUGACCCAGAGAGGUUGGCCACAUUAUUCUGAACUUCGCAAAUAAGGGAACUGAGGCACUAAAAGGUGAGCCCAUGCGGAGGUGUACCCGGCUACUGAGAGGCGUCUGGGGACCUCGGGAUCCAGACGGUGCCUGCAGAUGGGGCAGGAGGUGUACCCGGCUACUGAGAGGCGUCUGGGGACCUGGGAUCCAGACGGUGCCUGCAGAUGGGGCAGGAGGUGUACCCGGCUACUGAGAGGCAUCUGGGGACCUGGGAUCCAGACGGUGCCUGUAGAUGGGGCACAUGGGAGGUGUACCCGGCUACUGAGAGGUGUCUGGGGACCUGGGAUCCAGACGGUGCCUGCAGAUGGGAAGCAUCUUCCCAGGACGCCGGGUGCUGAGGUGGAAUGAACCCUCCCCUCCCCUCUGAGCUCCUCUCUGGGUCUUGCUGGGUCUCUGUAUCUACUUAGUUCAGCUCCAGUUCUACCUCAGAGCACACCUGUACCCUAGGGAGGUCCAGAAGCAGGCUGCAAGGGACGGAUUUCACGUCCUGAGUGACCACUUCAAUCACAACUGACACAGGAGGUGGCUUUGGUGAUUUCAUUUUUUUUUUCUGUUCAUUUCUGCCAUUUAUUUUUUCUAGUGCAUUAUGACCACACACAGUCGUGGGCUUCAUCGUGACAGGUUUGUACGCACAGCAUGAUUUGGUCCAUUUCAUUAACCAUGUCCCCUGUCCUUUCUACCCUGCUGCUGUGGUUUAGAUGUGAGGUGUCCCCCAGAAGUUCAUGUGACAGACGAAGUGGGAAGGUUUAGAGGGGAAUGAUUGGGUGUGGGAGCCUCGACCUAAUCAGGGC